GAUUGUAUCCGAGCCAUUUGUGAAACAUCCUAAGAGUGGGGUGUUCCAUGUCACUGGUUCGGGCUUGACUAUAAAACUCAUCUCUAGAUAUCUCUUUCCAGAACUGGUGUCUCUCAAAAUUGGGUAAGUCGGAGUCAAUGUUCAAGAUGCAUCUUGAAGAGAAAUCGAGAUGGUCGCUCAGUUCUCUCCAAGACAACAUAAUGUCCUGUUUAAACAUUCGAAAAGAAAUUCCCCCUCAUAAUAUUGUAAAGUGCAAAGAAAUUCAAGGGUGAGAAGAUGGGAACCCAGCUCAGUUAUGUUCCAAAAAUUUGUCCAUCCCACCAUCUGGAAAAUUAAAUCGAAUUCAGUAUCCAUACCUAUUUCUUGUAGCAAGAUAGGAUCAAGAGUGGGGGUGUGAAUGAAAUUCUUGUUCUUUAGCUGCUGGUAAACUUCCUUUUCCCUGCAGGUCUUCAGUCCAAGGUCUCCUGUUUUGAGGAGGACCUUGACUUGUUGAUCAGAUGAAGAUGACGGAGCUUGCACAGGUGUCGGGUCGACGCUCAUUUCUGAUGGGUGCAAGGAGUGUCGGGAUGAACUCCUUGUACCUAUGUUCUUGAGGGCCUUCCCUACGUUCUUCACCUUCUUGAACAUCCUGU
rnacentral:lncRNA from 1 species